rnacentral:misc_RNA from 1 species
UCUCCGUUGGUGAACCAGCGGAGGGAUCAUUACCGAGUUUACAACUCCCAAACCCCUGUGAACAUACCAUUUGUUGCCUCGGCGGUGCCUGCUUCGGCAGCCCGCCAGAGGACCCCAACCCCUGAUUUUAUACAGUAUCUUCUGAGUAAAUGAUUAAAUAAAUCAAAACUUUCAACAACGGAUCUCUUGGUUCUG